rnacentral:rRNA from 1 species
UGGGGCGGGCUUACCAUGCAGUCGUACCAUGGAAGACAGUUCGGGGUGGAUUAGUGGCGAACGGGUGAGUAACACGUGGGCAAUCUGCCCUUCACUCUGGGACAAGCCCUGGAAACGGGGUCUAAUACCGGAUAUGACACACGACCGCAUGGUCUGUGUGUGGAAAGCUCCGGCGGUGAAGGAUGAGCCCGCGGCCUAUCAGCUUGUUGGUGGGGUGAUGGCCUACCAAGGCGACGACGGGUAGCCGGCCUGAGAGGGCGACCGGCCACACUGGGACUGAGACACGGCCCAGACUCCUACGGGAGGCAGCAGUGGGGAAUAUUGCACAAUGGGCGAAAGCCUGAUGCAGCGACGCCGCGUGAGGGAUGACGGCCUUCGGGUUGUAAACCUCUUUCAGCAGGGAAGAAGCGAGAGUGACGGUACCUGCAGAAGAAGCGCCGGCUAACUACGUGCCAGCAGCCGCGGUAAUACGUAGGGCGCAAGCGUUGUCCGGAAUUAUUGGGCGUAAAGAGCUCGUAGGCGGCUUGUCACGUCGGAUGUGAAAGCCCGGGGCUUAACCCCGGGUCUGCAUUCGAUACGGGCAGGCUAGAGUUCGGUAGGGGAGAUCGGAAUUCCUGGUGUAGCGGUGAAAUGCGCAGAUAUCAGGAGGAACACCGGUGGCGAAGGCGGAUCUCUGGGCCGAUACUGACGCUGAGGAGCGAAAGCGUGGGGAGCGAACAGGAUUAGAUACCCUGGUAGUCCACGCCGUAAACGUUGGGAACUAGGUGUGGGCGACAUUCC